rnacentral:rRNA from 1 species
UACAGAGGUCUCAAGCGUUGUUCGGAUUCAUUGGGCGUAAAGGGUGCGUAGGCGGCGCGGUAAGUCGGGGUGUGAAAUCCCGGGGCUCAACCCCGGAACUGCAUUCGAUACUGCUGCGCUAGAGUACUGGGAGAGGAGAUUGGAAUUUACGGUGUAGCAGUGAAAUGCGUAGAUAUCGUAAGGAAGACCAGUGGCGAAGGCGGGAUCUCUGGACA